AUUCCAUCCUUCCUCGGCAUGGCGCUUCAUCAAAAGGCAAAGUUUAUUCCCGCGAACCCUCUUCCAAAUCUCCCCAAAAAAACCAUUGCCUUCGCCGCUUCGCACCAACAGUGAUGGCAGUAUCGAUGCAUGAUCCAUCGAUUUUAUCCCUUAUAGGACCCGGCGAAACAUUGUUAUUACAAAAAGCCCCCUCCCCGGCAUCAGCAGCUGCAGCUCCUCCGGGAUGCGCAUGCCGCGGCUGCCCCUCCUCCUCAAGAUAGCCGCGGCGGCGGCCGCCGGGGCGCUGGCGCUCAUUGUCGCGGCGCGCCUCCGCCGAGAGGACGCCGUGGCGUCCCUCCGCAGGGAGAUCCGCGAGUGCGUCUCGGCCCUCGUCGAGGAGGAGGGCGACGGCGACGGCGGCGGGGGCGGGGGCGGGGGCGCCAAGGAGGUCGCCUCGUCGCCGGCGCCGUCCGUGCUGAUCACGGGGUUCCGGGCCCACGGCAAGAGCUCGCUGGUCAACACGGCGUGCCGCGCGCUGGCGGCCGAGGACGGCCCGCUGCUGCUGCGCGCGGAGGCCUCGCCGCCCGGCGGGGGGACCGACGGGCCCAGGCGGCGGCGGAGGGUCAAGGCCGUGGUUGCCGGGGCCGACGGCGACGGCGCGGGGGACGGCGACAACGUGGUGGACCUGCUUGACGCGCCGCCGCUCCCCGAGGCGGCGAGGCUCUCCAGGGAUGACAUCGAUGCCGCGAUCAUUGGGGGGAACCCGGAGUGCGUGGUGCUCGUGCUGCGCUGCGACGCGCCCGCCAAGGAGCGGAACGCCGCCAUCAGGCGCCUCCCGGAGAUCUCUGCUGCCGUCAGGAACAAAGGGCUUAAUUUGAUCGUUGUAUUGACUUUUAAGAAGGCCAUGAGAUCAAUUAGGCAGGCUGAAGAGCUACUACGGGAGGUUUCGUUCAGGGCCCGAACUGAUUGUGUUUACUUCAUCGAGAACUACACCUGGAGCAACAAUGGGCCCAACCUCCACCAUCCACCUGUCAUCAAGAAUGACUUUGAGACACAUUUCACGGUGCUGACAAUCAUUCGACAGUGUCUUGAGUUCAUCAAGCUAAAUAGGAGCCAAUCCAAGGACAAGGGUGACAAGCAGGCAAAACCGGACGAGCCCAAACCUAAGAAUCCACCCGCAGAAGCUAAGCAAUGCCGGAAAUUCAAUGACUCCAGUGUAAGGCUCUUCUUCAACAGCUCAGAAACUUGAAUCUUCAUUUCGCACAGACGCAGGAAUAAAGAUAUCCCAGUCGUUGCAUCAACGUAACCAAGGAUUCACAAAGCUGUUCCUCUAUCUUAGUUGAGUGGCAGUGCUCGUGCCUUCUUCUAAAACAAAGUUGGGGGAAAAUAGAGCUGGCAGAGGAAGAAUUGAACAAUGGGGAAAAAAUGCAGUGCACACCAUCAAUUGAAGUUUGCUCUCUUUUGGAACUUGUUUUGCAAAAGGAAAAAAACACUCUUUUGAUUCUUUUUGCGAUUGUGACCCAACAAUAGCUUACAGGAUAGCUUAAGAU